GGGAGGGGGCCGGUGCGGAAGAGGGGAAGCUCUGCGCGCGUCGCGACUUUCCAUUGGCCCUCCGCGCCGCGGCCUACAAUGAGUCCUCUGAUUGGUCACGGCUGGAUUCGCGCUGCCUUGUGAGAUAACUCAAACUACUGGCAGCUCCAUAAAAUGCUAGGAGGCAAAGAUACCACCCCCGGCCCGUCAACACACACCCCUUCAAUGAAGCACUUGAAACAGGAGGAUGCUAGGCAUUAGCUGGACAUCAGCUAAUCACACAGAAGCUCAGGCUCCUGAGAUGGAAAUGAAGGAGUGCAGAAGUCAAAGUCAUUCCUGGUCCAGAAGCAAGUUGAGCAUUCACUGGCAUGGCCACUGGGAAGGACCACUCCAACCCUUGUGAUUCCAGAAGCCUCAUUUUCAAGGCCCCUACUGCUUAAGGAACUAGGAGUUUGGGCCAUCUCAGUAAUGGCUCCUUGAUAUAUAAUCUGAGGCUUUAGGGGAAGAGGGAUACAGGAAUCAAAAAUAACAACUCCUGUUCAUUGAGCACUUUCUAUAGAUAAAGUGUUGGUCUAAGCAUUUCACAUGCUUUGCCUUGUGUAAUCUUCAAACGAGUCACUGAAUUGUGAUCCCUCUUUUAUAGAUGAGUAAACUAGGCACCCACUUAAUGAUAAUAAAAAUUAAAAUAGUAUUAUGAAUGAGAAAAAUUUAACAGCUUUAAUGUUUUUUACACUGAUCCAGUGCCAGGCCCUGUGCAAGCAUAUUAUAUAUAUAUAUGAUAUCAAGUCCUGACAGUUCAUCAUAUUAUCCCCAUUUUCAGCUAAGGAAACAGACUGAGGGAAGUGACUUGCCUGAGGUCACUGGAUUUCAGAAAGUGACCGAGCCAAGAGCCAAACUCGCUUCUGUGUGAUUCCAAAGCAGCCUGAAGCCACAAUUCCUUAGCAACCUCCCAAGGAGGCCAUCAUGGCGAGGACAGGAGGUUAUGGAAGAGAAUCCCAUUGGCCUUUAAAAGCAGAGGUACCCUGGCUUAUGAGCUGGGCCAUGAGCUACAAAAUCUGCCAUUAUGGGAAGCUGUGGGAGAGACACCGCCCCUUCCCACUGGGCAGUGAGGGAAGCUUUAAUGCCGUCUUCUCACCCACCUGGUAAUGGGCCGUGUAAACUCACAAACUGCAGGAAAACAGUUCCUUGAACAGGGAUGCAGAGGAUGUUUGCUCUGGUCCAAAGCCUCUGCCUCCCUGCUCACCCUGAGAUGUGGGGCUGUUGUCAGUCUGCUUUCUCUCCAUUGUCACUGUGAAUCCUGCUGGGCUGUCGUUGCCUUGGUAACUUGCUGGGAAGCUCUUGAGGCUUUCUAAAACCAGAGAGGGCUGUGGAAGGAGGAACGAGCUCUGCUGGGCUGCCCAAUCACAAAAGGGAAGAAUCUAUCCCCGUGUUUGCUGCCCUUACCAGCCACACAGACAGUCCUUCCUUGGGUUUUACCUCAGCCUCUUCUGUUGCCUCCACAGGAGCUUCGUAGCUUUUGAGGCCGGGCCUGAGUGGGGGGCGGGGCGGAGGGGAGCAUUCACUGGCAUGGCCCUGUGCUGCUCUGCCCUUGGAGUUGGUUCCCACUGUUGUCAGACAGAGCUGCUUGGACUUCUGGUUGCACCUGUACCCUGGCCCUGAAAUGUUAAUUGGUUUAUGAAGUUCACUGCCUAUUUUUAUGAGACAGAUAAUUAUGGUAAGGGGAGGUCAGGCCCUACUCUGCUGGACUUUGCGGGGCCUCCAGUACUCCUGACUCCCUAGUCAGAACCCAGGCAGACUGAUGGGAUCUGGGUGGGCAGGAGCAGGCCUAGGCGUUGGGGAGGGGCCUGGAUAUACUCACCAUGGGACAAGGGGCCAAGCCUUCAGGCUUGUAGUCCCUGUGAUGGGAUCAAGGAGGCGAAUGCACACCUGCCACAUAGUUGAAGUGGGUACCUGCAGAUGCUGUCCUUGGGUGAGAGAGACAGAGG